rnacentral:tRNA from 1 species
GCCCGGGUGAUGGAACUGGUCAGACAUGGGGGCCUUAAAAGCCCCUGUCCCCAAAGGGGCGUGUGGGUUCGAGUCCCACCCCGGGCA